AUGUACUCAGAGCCAGUGGGGAGGGAACUACUGAGCCAGGGCAGGGUCACUAUCAUGAGUAGGCUCAAAUUUUUUUUUUUUUUUGUCUUUUUAUGGCUGCACCUGCGGAAGCAGGCUCUGACCUCCCUUGGGAGGAGGACAGCAAAGACACAUGAGAUUGUGACAGCCCAUCUCAAGAUCCCCCUCCUCGGAGUUCCCGCUGUGGCUCAGUGGUUAAGGAAUUCGACUAGGAACUCCCACGCCAGAUUUCUUGACCUCUUGGCCCUUGUCCCACUAUUGUUCUGUCACAAUCAGACUGAGGCGGGGGCAGAUAAGGGUUAGGAACUUCAAGUGGGGAGCCCAGAAUCUGAAUCUCCAUUCUGCUCCUAACCCUACUGUGACCUGGAGCAGGAAGCACCUGCUUGCUGGGUCCAGUUUCCUCACCCGCUCCUGGAACUUUUGGGAGGGGCCCUGCAGGGUCUAACACCCUCUCAGCACCUUCUCAUCCUCUCUGGGCAGGUGUGAGAUUGCACUGGUAGCCAGGCACCCUGCCUCCGCCAUUUCACAAGCAGCCUGAGAACUGCCAGUGCCCCACCAUGUCGAGUUCAGCCCCAGAAGCCAUCUGUUCCAGGCACUGGGCUCCACCCUACCCAGUACACUGACUGCACGCACCAGCCCCUUCCGCCGCACGAGGUCAAGCCCACUGCCUCAUGUCUCGUGCACACACACGUCUUCACAUAUGCACACCCACUCUGUGCAUUCCUAGUUAUAGCACCUGUUCGCUCGCUCACAAACUCCACAUUCGCCCGUCCACCCGCCUCGCUCGUGCCCACGCGGUUCCCCCGCUCAGCGUCGGCUGCGCUGGAGCCCCAGUCGGUUGCCGAAGAGGGUGGGGCACCCGCGGCCGGCCGCGCUCCACCCACUCUCGGCCCCGCCCUUUCCCCACCUCCUGCCUGGACCCUGGCCCGCCCAUAUCCGCGCCCAGCCCCGCCUCCUGCCUGGGCCCCGCCUCCCGCCUGGGCUGGCCCAGAGGAUGUGAGCUCACUCCCGCCUCCCGGCUCGCAGCGCCGUCAGGAAGCGUCCGCCCGCGGUGGCCGCCAGCUCGUUGCCAACGGGCCGGCCGGAGUCGCCCGUCCCGCCCUUCCCGGCGCCACACGCAGUAGCUGCUUUCCAAAUGGGUACGCAGUGAAGGCGGGCGGCCGCGGGGCCCAGGCAGCGCCGGGCUCCGAGACACUUCGUCCUCCGGGCCCGGCGGGUCGCCAGGAGACCGCCGGCGCGCACGCCACGCCCAUC
rnacentral:lncRNA from 1 species